CUAGCGGUAUAGGAGUCAGGUUUAUCUAGCUACAUUUGGAAUGUAGAGCACGGUGGUUCGAAUCCACCUCGCUAGA
rnacentral:tRNA from 1 species